GUGUCAGCAGCCGCGGUAAAACGUAGGAGGCGAGCGUUAUCCGGAUUCACUGGGCGUAAAGCGCGUGUAGGUGGCUUGCCAAGUCGAGUGUUAAAGCCCCUGGCCUAACUGGGGGAGGCCACUCGAUACUGGCAGACUUGAGGGUAAGAGAGGAAAGCGGAACUCCCGGUGUAGCGGUGGAAUGCGUAGAUAUCGGGAAGAACACCAGUGGCGAAGGCGGCUUUCUGGCUUACCUCUGACACUGAGACGCGAAAGCGUGGGGAGCAAACGGGAUUAGAUACCCUGGUAGUCC
rnacentral:rRNA from 1 species